UACGUAGGGUGCAAGCGUUGUCCGGAAUUAUUGGGCGUAAAGUGUGCGCAGGCGGCCGAGCAAGCCGAGUGUGAAAGCCCCGGGCUUAACCUGGGAACUGCGCUCGAAACUACUUGGCUUGAGUGUGGCAGAGGGAGGUGGAAUUCCACGUGUAGCGGUGAAAUGCGUAGAGAUGUGGAGGAACACCGAUGGCGAAGGCAGCCUCCUGGGCCAACACUGACGCUCAUGCACGAAAGCGUGGGGAGCAAACAGG
rnacentral:rRNA from 1 species